GACGAGGGGUCCUAGCGUUGUUCGGAAUCAUUGGGCGUAAAGCGUGUGUAGGCGGCCAACUAAGUCGGAUGUGAAAUCCCCAGGCUUAACCUGGGAACUGCAUCCGAUACUGGAUGGCUUGAAUCCGGGAGAGGGAUGCAGAAUUCCAGGUGUAGCGGUGAAAUGCGUAGAUAUCUGGAGGAAUACCGGUGGCGAAGGCGGCAUCCUGGACCGGCAUUGACGCUGAUGAGCGAAAGCUAGGGGAGCAAACGGG
rnacentral:rRNA from 1 species